rnacentral:lncRNA from 1 species
AUUGUCUGAUUUCAAGGACCAAUCGAUAUCAGAUUGAGUCGAAAACUUGGGGAACAUCAUAAUAUUGUGGGAGGAGUCAUUUGGUGGGUUUUGAGUGAAAUCCAAUCUUUAGAACUAUACAAUACACCAACCACCCCAUUUCAGAACGAACUUCGUAGGAACCUGAAUUGUCCGAUUUCAAGGACCAAUCGAUAUCGGAUUGAGUCCAAAACUUGGGGAACAUCGUAAUAUUGUGGGAGGAAUCAUUUGGUGGGUUUUGAGUGAAAUCCAAUCUGUAGAACUAUACAAUACACCAACCACCCCAUUUCAGAAAGAACUUCGUACGAACGUGAAUUGUCCGAUUUCAAGGACCAAUCGAUAUCGGAUUGAGUCCAAAACUUAGGGAACAUCAUAAUGUUGUGGGAGGAGUCAUUUGGUGGGUUUUGAGUGAAAUCCAAUCUCUAGAACUGUACAAUACCCCAACCACUCCAUUUCAGAACGAACUUCGUAGGAACCUGAAUUGUCCGAUUUCAAGGACCAAUCGAUAUCGGAUUGAGUCCAAAACUUGGGGAACAUCAUAAUAUUGUGGGAGGAGUCAUUUGGUCGGUUUUGAGUGAAAUCCAAUCUUUAGAACUAUACAAUACACCAACCACCCCAUUUCAGAACGAACUUCGUAGGAUCCUGAAUUGUCCGAUUUCAAGGACUAGUCGAUAUCGGAUUGAGUCCAAAACUUGGGGAACAUCAUAAUAUUGUGGGAGGAGUCAUUUGGUGGGUUUUGAGUGAAAUCCAAUCUCUAGAACUAUACAAUACCCCAACCACCCCAUUUCAGAACGAACUUCGUACGAACCAGAAUUGUCCGAUUUCAAGGACCAAUCGAUAUCGGAUUGAGUCCAAAACUUGGGGAACAUCACAUUGUGGGACUCAUUUGGUAAGUUUUGAGUGAAAUGCAAUCCCCAGAACUAUACAAUACACCAACCACUCCCUUUCAGAAUGAAUUCUUACGAACCUGAAUUGUCCGAUUUCAAGGACCAUUCGAUAUCGGAUUGAGUCCAAAACUUGGGGAACAUCGUAAUAUUGUGGGAGGAGUCAUUUGGUGGGUUUUGAGUGAAAUCCAAUCUCCAGAACUAUACAAUACACCAACCACCCCAUUUCAGAAUGAACUUCGUACGAACCAGAAUUGUCCAAUUUCAAGAGCCAAUCGAUAUCGGAUUGAGUCCAAAACUUGGGGAACAUCGUAAUAUUGUGGGAGGAGUCAUUUGGUGGGUUUUGAGUGAAAUCCAAUCUCUAGAACUAUACAAUACACCAACCACCCCAUUUCAGAACGAACUUCGUACGUACCAGAAUUGUCCGAUUUCAAGGACCAAUCGAUAUCGGAUUGAGUCCAAAACUUGGGGAACAUCAUAAUGUUGUGGGAG